rnacentral:rRNA from 1 species
GACGAACGCUGGCGGCGUGCUUAACACAUGCAAGUCGAACGGAAAGGCCCUGCUUUUGUGGUGUGCUCGAGUGGCGAACGGGUGAGUAACACGUGAGUAACCUGCCCUUGACUUUGGGAUAACUUCAGGAAACUGGGGCUAAUACCGGAUAGGAGCUCCUGCUGCAUGGUGGGGGUUGGAAAGUUUCGGCGGUUGGGGAUGGACUCGCGGCUUAUCAGCUUGUUGGUGGGGUAGUGGCUUACCCAGGCUUUGACGGGUAGCCGGCAUGGGAGGGUGACCGGCCACAUGGGGACUGAGGUACGGCCCAGACUGCUACGGGGGGCAGCAGUGGGGAAUAUUGCACAAUGGGCGGGAGCCUGUGGCAGCAACGCCGCGUGCGGGAUGACGGCCUUCGGGUUGUAAACCGCUUUCGCCUGUGACGAAGCGUGAGUGACGGUAAUGGGUAAAGAAGCACCGGCUAACUACGUG